AAGUCGUAACAAGGUCUCCGUUGGUGAACCAGCGGAGGGAUCAUUACUGAGUCGUAAAAACUCCCAAACCCAUGUGAACUUACCUAUUUGCUCGCAGCUACGGGACCUACCCUGGUCACGCUACCUUGUAGCCUUGCCGGUGGCACGAUGCUAAUACUCUUGUUUUUUUAUAGAAAUCUGAACGUCUUAUUAAAUAAGUCAAAA
rnacentral:misc_RNA from 1 species